AUAUCAAUAAGCGGAGGAAAAGAAACCAACAGGGAUUGCCUCAGUAACGGCGAGCGAAGCGGCAAGAGCUCAGAUUUGAAAUCUGGCCCCUUGGGGGUCCGAGUUGUAAUCUGUAGGGGAUGCUUCGGAGCCAUACCCGGCCUAAGUUCCUUGGAACAGGACGUCGCAGAGGGUGAGAAUCCCGUAUGCGGCCGGCGGACGGUUCCGUGUGAAGCUCCUCCGACGAGUCGAGUUGUUUGGGAAUGCAGCUCUAAAUGGGAGGUAAAUUUCUUCUAAAGCUAAAUACCGGCCAGAGACCGAUAGCGCACAAGUAGAGUGAUCGAAAGAUGAAAAGCACUUUGGAAAGAGAGUUAAAAAGUACGUGAAAUUGUUGAAAGGGAAGCGCUUGCGACCAGACUCGACCGUUGCGGAUCAACCCUCCCCGCGGAGGGCUCACUCCGCCUCGGUCGGGCCAGCAUCGGUUCCAGCGGUCGGAUAAAGGCGUCGGGAAUGUGGCUCCUCUCGGGGAGUGUUAUAGCCCGUCGUGCAAUACGACCCGCCGGGACCGAGGACCGCGCUUAGGCAAGGAUGCUGGCGUAAUGGUCGUAAGCGC
rnacentral:rRNA from 1 species